AGAGAAAAAAAUGAUUGAUAAAAACACAGCCUGGAACACCAAGAAAAUUUAAAAAAAAAAUUAUUUAUUAGUUCCUAGUAAUGUUUUAUGACCUAAAGCCCAUACAUUAAAACCUUGGGAUUUUUUUUUGCAAUACAUAAAUACUGUUUAUCAGAAGACUAUGCUAAAAAUCCAUUAGUGAACUGUUUUUCACAGUAAUAAUAAUCUAUUUUAAAAAGCUGAUUCAUUUAGAAAUAGAUUAUAAUAUUUUAGUGAUUUGACUGAAUUUGCUGGCUCAAAUUCUAUUUAGUGUUAGUAGCUUUGUGCAGGUCACAAAAAUGUUAAAGAGCUGAAUUAUAUGCUUUUUGCAAGUCUAAAGAUAGAUGGCAAUAAUCAAAUUGUUUUCAAUUAACAAUGACUAAAUGUACUUAAUUCAAAUUAUAAUGACUUGUUAAUAUUGUCUGUUCAUAGAAAUUUUUCAAUUUCUUGUAGAUAAACCUGGCAAGACCCUGUUUGUUAUAAGAAUGUAUGUGAUAUGUAUGAUAAUCAAAGAAAUAAAAUAAAGUGUUGAAAUCAAAAGUUAAAAUGUAAUUUAUUAUACAGUAAUCACAGAAAUUUAGAUGUACAUUUAUAAAUGUUAAUCAUUGAAAUUAGAUUAAAAUACAACAUUUACAUACAUGUGUGCAACUCGUAUAGAGCUUCUGUUGCAUUUAUAAGGUUUGAAUUACACAUGUUAUGGAAUCUGAACCUGGUCAAGUGUUUCACAUCACAUGAAUUUCUCAUUUUAAAGUAAUGAGUUAUUUCCAUUUUGAAAAUGUUGUUUUUUGGGAGGUUGAUCUACUUCCAUACUUAAUUGAUAGGGGUGCAGCUGGGGUUCUGUUACCCCACUUUUUUUAAAUGAUACAUUUUUACCUACACAAUAUAUUAAGAGGUAACUGUUUCCCAUAUUGUUUGGGUUCAAUUGGGUGUGUAAUGAAUGAAUGGAAUAUCAACGUGUCAAAAGAGAAAAUUGGUUGAUAAAAACACAGCCUGGAACACCAAGAAAAAUUAUAAAAAAAUAUGUAUUUAUUAGUUCCUAGUAAUGUUUUAUGACCUAAAGGCCAUACAUUAUAUGUGCACUUGAAAAAUAAUGCCUUAAAAUUCACUCGAUAUGGAGCAAAGCAUUUUACUUGAUCAUAAUAGGGCACUUUGCAGUGAUACUUGUAGUUGGACUACAAAACGGUCACUACCUUUACUACCCAUGAGGGUCUCAAACAGUCAGUUUUGCAGUCAUUCUUCAUUGAACCUUGUUUGUUCUAAGCCGAUCAAACAAUUUAUUAACAACUGUUCAUUUCUAAAAUUUUACAAUAGAUUAUCUUGUUAGAUUAAUAUUGCUUCAAUAGACCAAUUUUCUAUUAUAAUCGAUUAUCAGAACAUCACUACUUGCAGAUAAAUCAGUUUUGUAAAUUAAUAUUUAUGAAAAUAUUAUUAUUGUUAUUAUUUAUAGUUAAAUGGAUGUUUGGAAAAAA
rnacentral:lncRNA from 1 species